rnacentral:rRNA from 1 species
AACGAACGCUGGCGGCAGGCCUAACACAUGCAAGUCGAGCGAAGCCUUCGGGCUUAGCGGCGGACGGGUGAGUAACGCGUGGGAACGUGCCCUUUGCUACGGAAUAGCCCCGGGAAACUGGGAGUAAUACCGUAUGUGCCCUUCGGGGGAAAGAUUUAUCGGCAAAGGAUCGGCCCGCGUUGGAUUGGGUAGUUGGUGGGGUAAUGGCCUACCAAGCCGACGAUCCAUAGCUGGUUUGAGAGGAUGAUCAGCCACACUGGGACUGAGACACGGCACAGACUCCUACGGGAGGCAGCAGUGGGGAAUCUUAGACGAUGGGGGAAACCCUGAUCUAGCCAUGCCGCGUGAUCGAUGAAGGCCUUAGGGUUGUAAAGAUCUUUCAGUGGGGAAGAUAAUGACUGUACCCACAGAAGAAGCCCCGGCUAACUCCGUGCCAGCCGCCGCGGUAA